rnacentral:rRNA from 1 species
GAUGAACGCUGGCGGCGUGCCUAAUACAUGCAAGUCGAGCGAACAGACGAGGAGCUUGCUCCUCUGACGUUAGCGGCGGACGGGUGAGUAACACGUGGAUAACCUACCUAUAAGACUGGGAUAACUUCGGGAAACCGGAGCUAAUACCGGAUAACAUGUUGAACCGCAUGGUUCAACAGUGAAAGACGGUCUUGCUGUCACUUAUAGAUGGAUCCGCGCCGCAUUAGCUAGUUGGUAAGGUAACGGCUUACCAAGGCAACGAUGCGUAGCCGACCUGAGAGGGUGAUCGGCCACACUGGAACUGAGACACGGUCCAGACUCCUACGGGAGGCAGCAGUAGGGAAUCUUACGCAAGGGGCGAAAGCCUGACGGAGCAACGCCGCGUGAGUGAAGAAGGUCUUCGGAUCGUAAAACUCUGUUAUUAGGGAAGAACAAAUGUGUAAGUAACUAUGCACGUCUUGACGGUACCUAAUCAGAAAGCCACGGCUAACUACGUG